AUACGGAGGGUGCGAGCGUUAAUCGGAAUUACUGGGCGUAAAGCGUGCGUAGGCGGUUUGCUAAGUCAGAUGUGUAAGCCCCGGGCUUAACCUGGGAACUGCAUUUGAUACUGGCAGACUAGAGUAUGAUAGAGGGGGGUAGAAUUCCUGGUGUAGGGGUGAAAUGCGUAGAUAUCAGGAGGAAUACCAGUGGCGAAGGCGGCCCCCUGGAUCAAUACUGACGCUGAGGUACGAAAGCGUGGGGAGCGAACAGGAUUAGAAACCCUAGUAGUCC
rnacentral:rRNA from 1 species